UAAAUGUAUCAAUUCCAGGUUGUUAUUUUUUUCCCACUUUUGUUUUUCAUUGUGGAAGACAGACCAAUGUUUUUGGCACAUUGCUAUGAAUUUCCCUAAGGUUUUCAAUCAAGCUAUGUUCCAGAGCUCUAUGAUAUUGUGAUGUCAUCUAGCACCUAGAUGGAAUCCUGCUUUUGCUUCUACCCUAUGAAGGAUUCAUAUACUACACUGAACAUUUGGUAACAUAGUUUUGCUUCACUUGAUCUGAAUACUCAGCACUUGGGGAAAAAAAUAGAUUUUUAACAAAACAGACUAGACUUAAGAGAAUUACUACAAUCAAACUAAAGCCAGGAGCUAAAGCCUAGAGGCUGUCUUCUUGGUACAUCAAAAGCCCAUUUCAAUAGCUGCUUCAUCUUCUUCUAUGUACUCAGGAUCUUGUCAAUCUUGUUGCUUUUCCUGCUCCUCAAUUAUCAGUACAAACCAAAGAGGCAAUGUAACAGGAGGAGAUUUCAUUAGAUUACGAAGGAAAACGUUUUCCUGAAACACGAGUUAUGAAAUUUUGUUUUCAGGACAAGAGAUGACUGGGGAGAAGGAGAAAAGGAUGUGGCAUGGUUGGUAGAGCACAUAUCAAGAUGCUUGGGGCAGACAGAUAGAUGGAUUGAUGGAAUAUAUGUGAAACAUGACCCAGGGG
rnacentral:lncRNA from 1 species